rnacentral:rRNA from 1 species
ACCGUGAUUCCCUUAGUAGCGGCGAGCGAACAGGGAAUAGCCCACGCUGAAUCUCUGAUCAUUAAUUUGAGCAGCGAAUUGUAGCGUAUGGGUAAUUAAUCUACUAAGUAUUAUGUUUACCAGUAAAGUUGUCUGGAACGGCAUGCCAAGGAGGGUGAUAGCCCCGUACCUGGCAUAAUACUUAGCAAGGCUAAUUACUCGAGAGUAGGACUGUUUGAGAAUGCAGUCUGAAAUGGGUGGUGAACUCCACCUAAGGCUAAAUACGGACACGAGACCGAUAGCACAAAAGUACCGUAAGGGAAAGGUGAAAAAGCACUCUGAAAAGAGAGUUAAAAGUGCUUGAAACCAACCGGGGGAAAAGGCUGAAGCAAUACCUCGUUACCGUUCAUCUCAUUAGGNUCAACAAGUCUCUAGUAGUCAUUCUACAUUUCAGGUAUGAAUGAUCUAGAGUAAGUUCUUAAGAGAUGAUACGCUACGUGCGAGGCUAUGUAGCUCUAUUAACGCUAAUCAAUGGCUGUAGAAUUGAUACCUCUAUAAACUUGGUUAGUUGGGCUAAGAGUAAUAGAGCUGCAUAUGCAGUGACUAAGGGAUACAACGCAUUAACUAGAGUACUUUCGAUUGUUUCUAGUUUUCUAUGUGUAGAUUAUUUCUAACCAUUUAUUAUAUGAUAUUCAAAUGUAGUUUUGUAUGAUUAGUCAAUGCACUCGUGGUAUUGAUUAAUUGUAGGAAGGUAUAUUUAAUGUUGUUAGUUAUGGUAUAAUAAUCUAGUAUCACCAGUUCUCGUGCGAGAUGGUAGCUUCAGUCCCGUCUUGAAACACGGACCAAGGAGACCUACUGCUACGCAAGUCGAAGGGUGAAAAACCCAGAGGCGAAGCGAAAGCGAAAGGUGCCAACUGUUCAUUAUCGGAAUAGUGCAGCACCGGCCUUCAUUUUUAUCCAUCUCGUAUGAUAAAAUGAUGAGCUAGAGCGUAGCGGCAAGGACCCGAAAGAUGGUGAGCUAUGCCUGAGCAGGAUGAAGCCAGGAGAAAUCCUGGUGGAGGUCCGUAGCGAUUCUGACGUGCAAAUCGAUCGUUAGACUCAGGUAUAGGGGCGAUAGACCAAUCGAACCAUCUAGUAGCUGGUUCCCUCCGAAAUAUCCCUCAGGAUCGCGGACAUCAUAUCGAUUGAUCAGUUUCAUUACGUAGGGAGAAUGAUUGGAGGUUUCGGGAACGCAAUGUUCUCGGCCUACUCUCAAACUUCGAAGUGGUGACACGAAUAUGUUUCGGGCGUAAAAUCAUUUAACUCUACAAAUCGUUAGUGAGU